UGCCUAGAAAUAAAUCCACUCUCCACUUAGAUUAAAUGAUAGUUUAAUUUUUUGGAAGUUGAAGUUGGAACAUGAAAACCAUAUUCAAUUUCCAUUAUAUGCAUCCCGUCAUAGUUUCAACUGCUAUUUAAAGCUUAGCAUUUCAUUCUAAUAUAAAGCAGAAUUCAUAUUCAUAUCACACUGACAUGUUCAUAUCCUGAAUAUUGUUGAAAAAUCGUAUACUGGAAUUUAAAAUAUUCCUCAAUCUUGGUGUAAACUGUUAUGUAAAAAAUCUGUGUCAGCGUACUGGUCUUUCACAAAGAAUGGUCAUACUGUGGAUUCAGUUAUUUUUUGUGGGUUCCUAUUUUCAUGAAUUGGGGAAAAAUUGUAUUUUCAAGGAUAUUUGAACAGUUGAACGACUAAAAUCUGUGGUUUCCUUAUACAUGUUAUACAAAAAAAAUCCACAAAAAUUGGUAUCCAACCACAAAUAAUCAAUCUAUAGAAUUUAUAACACAGUGACAUUUUCUUGCCCUGAAUAUUGCUAAAUGAUAAUACACAUCUAUUCAUUAAUUUGUGUACUGAUUGAUUCACCAUGAUAAUAAGAAAUAAAGUGGAUUGACUUCCAAGCAACUAAAAAUACCAAAAACUAAAUUCUUGCAAAUAUCAUUGCUUUUCAUGAUAUUCAUCUUUUUCCUUUAAAUUAUUUUUCUUUUGGUAAAUGUUUUGAAUUAGACUAAAAUUUUGUCAAUAGUCCCCUACUGAUCAAGACAUCAUUUACUGUUAAGUUACAUCUGCACAGAAAUAUGCCUUCAAUGGACAUGUAGGAUAACAUGCCCCACUUGUUCAGUGAACUGUGAAAUCAGGAUCAAAACUGUAAUUUUGCAUGUAAUUUUAAAAAGCUUACAUCACAAUGAAUAUGUGCACAUGUACUAAUAUUCACGUUGAUGCAGUAUUUUUCAAACAAUCAAAUUUCCAUGUUCAGUGACCCAUGAAUAAUUUGCAUAUAAUUUAGAAAGUUGAACAAAUUUACUUAGUUUUAAUUGAUAAGUUGAUUUGACUUCAACUUCAUGGUAAACUCCCAAAAACCUUUAACCUGAUAUAAGACAGACAGAAUAUGGGAUGCAUAGAUCAGAAAACAAAAUGCCCCUGUACUGUUGUAGGGCGGGCAUAAGAAUAUCUUGACAAAUGCAGAUACAUGUAUAUGAUUUCACAAUUUUUCUUAAUUCUUCAUUUUGUAAAGAAUAUUUUUUUUUGCAUUUAGAUACAUGUUCAUAUCUUAUUAACUUCAUAAAAUACAAACCCGAUACCUUGCAAACCAAUUUUUGCAGAAAUAAAAAUUCAUGAAGAUUACUUUCAGAAAAAACUAGAUAUCAUUGAGAUGGGAGCCAUCUCUGUGGGCCCCGCUGUGAAUAAUGUGUGGUAAAAAAUUUGUAUCUUUAUCAUUGGACAUAGGGUUGUCAAAUGAAACCAAAGUUUUUGACCUUGACCUUUGACCUAGGAAGUUGUACAUAAAUUAUGACACACCCUCUGGUGUUGGUUUAUAUACAUAUCAAGUAUAAACUUUGAAAUCAUAACUGUUCUCAAGAUAUAGAGUGGACACGAUCUUUACCAUAGGACAUGAGGUUGUCAACUAAAACCAAAGUUUUUGACCUUGACCUUUGACCUAGGAAGUUGUACAUACAUUAUGACACACCCUCUGGUGUUGGUUAAUAUACAUAUCAAGUAUAAACUUUGAAAUCAUAACGGUUCUCAAGAUAUAGAGCGGACACGAUCUUUACCAUAGGACAUGGGGUUGUCAACUAAAACCAAAGUUUUUGACCUUGACCUUUGACCUAGGAAGUUGAACAUACAUUAUGACACACCCUCUGGUGUUGGUAAAUAUACAUGUCAAGUAUAAACUUUGAAAUCAUAACGGUUCUCUAGAUAUAGAGUGGACACGAUUUGUUACGGACGGAUGGACGGACGAACGGACAGACGAACGGACGGACGGACAGACUGAUCACUAUAGGGCGGCCGCUAUUCGGAGGGGCCCUAAUUAUAUAUACAUGUAUUAACACUUUAUAAGUUUGGCGUGUUCAAAGCACUUUUCUGGAUUUAUCUUCAUCAGGAAUGAUCAAGCCCAACAUUUUGAAAGUUAAGGGUGUUUAUUAAAGCACUUGAAUACGUGAAGAACUAUAUGAACAAAAAGACCCUAAAAGGAAUAGCCAAAUCAACCUAAGGUCAACUUUGUCUGAGGAAGUGGUAACCCAAGUAACCCUAAAAGGAAUAGCCAAAUCAACCUAAGGUCAACUUUGUCUGAGAAAGUGGUAACCCUAGUUACCUUAAAAGGAAUAGCCACAUCAACCUAAGGUCAACUUUGUCUGAGGAAGAUGUAACCUUAGUAUCCUUAAAAGGAAUAGCCAAAUCAACCUAAGGUCAACUUUGUCUGAGGAAGUGGUAACCUUAGUUUCCUUAAAAGGAAUAGCCAAAUCAACCUAAGGUCAACUUUGCCAGAGGAAGUGGUAACCUUAAUAUCAUUAAAAGGAAUAGCCAAAUCAACCUAAAGUCAACUUUGUCUGAGGAAGUGGUAACCUUAGUAUCCUUAAAAGGAAUAGCCAAAUCAACCUUAGGUCAACUUUGCCUGAGGAAGUGGUAACCUUAAUAUCCUUAAAAGGAAUAGCCAAAUCAACCUAAGGUCAACUUUGUCUGAGGAAGUGGUAACCUUAAUAUCCUUAAAAGGAAUAGCCAAAUCAACCUAAGGUCAACUUUGCCUGAGGAAGUGGUAACCUUAAUAUCCUUAAAAGGAAUAGCCAAAUCAACCUAAGGUCAACUUUGUCUGAGGAAGUGGUAACCUUAGUAUCCCUAAAAGGAAUAGCCAAAUCAACCUAAGGUCAACUUUGUCUGAGGAAGUGGUAACCUUAGUAUCCCUAAAAGGAAUAGCCAAAUCAACCUAAGGUCAACUUUGCCUGAGGAAGUGGUAACCUUAAUAUCCUUAAAAGGAAUAGCCAAAUCAACCUUAGAUCAACUUUGCCUGAGGAAGUGGUAACCUUAGUAUCCCUAAAAGGAAAAGCCAAAUCAACCUAAGGUCAACUUUGCCUGAGGAAGUGGUAACCUUAAUAUCCUUAAAAGGAAUAGCCAAAUCAACCUUAGAUCAACUUUGCCUGAGGAAGUGGUAACCUUAGUAUCCCUAAAAGGAAAAGCCAAAUCAACCUAAGGUCAACUUUGCCUGAGGAAGUGGUAACCUUAAUAUCCUUAAAAGGAAUAGCCAAAUCAACCUUAGAUCAACUUUGCCUGAGGAAGUGGUAACCUUAGUAUCCCUAAAAGGAAUAGCCAAAUCAACCUAAGAUCAACUUUGCCUGAGGAAGUGGUUACCUUAAUAUCCUUUAAAAGAA